AGGGGUGAAUAAAAUGCUCAUUUUGAUAGGCUUUCUGAAAAAGCUCCGUUCCCCAACAGCUUUAUCCACAGACCAGCAGAAGACAUUUAGAAGCACCUCUCUGUGCCCUGGGAGGAAUCUUGAAUUCUCUCCCAGAUGAGAUGUUCUUAUGCAAUAAAUCCAGGAUCAUAUCCAAAAAUAAUAAACAUCCAAAACUCCAGAGGAAAUAACUAUCAGCUUAGCUGUACAGUACAGGAAAGGCACAACAUCGCCCUUGGACUGCUGUUUCUUCAAACAUUAAGAGACCAAAACGUAUCCCUUUCCAACUCAACUGGCAUUUGCGAGAGGGAGGAAUAAUAUCACAAACUUCAGUUGCACCCGGGGCAAGUUUGCUAAAGUAUUUAGCGUCCCACGCCCCACUCCACGGAAAAUACUGCCAUUGCUUCUGAAACCAAACACAGCAACCCACUCCCAGUUAAUUAAAGCAGCUCGUUUGUUUUUUAAAAGGGAAAUAACCGAAGGGGGCUUGGAAUGAACAUUUCUAGUUUUCUAAUCUUUUUUUUUUUUUCCCUGGUUUUCUGCGAGAAAGAAUUGCUGGAAAAUGCGCGGCGGCGACGGCAGCAGCAGCCCGCUUCGAAUCCCGUCGCUCCCGAAACGCGGCGAGGGAUGGGCAAUUGGAAGCCACAGGGCCACGGGAGAUCAUCAAGCCUUCUUCUGCAGCCCUCUAUCUUUGCCUGUGGAAAGAUGGAUUAUGGACUGGCAUAAAGGCGCAGCCAUGAAAGCGUCAUUGAAUGAUAUUGACAAAAUCAUUUGUUGUUUUUAGAGCCCACAGAGGUUUUGCUGUUUGGGGGCGGAGGGCUUUUCAAGGCUGUAACCGUGUUGUCGCAAGCCCUCCCAGCUGUUCAGAACUAAGAUUUAUGCAACAAAAACAAAACUCAUUGACUAUUCAAGCACUUCCCAUCCUCCUGGAGAGUUUCUGUCACCCACACGUUGCAACAAGAGUGAGCAAAAAGUGAUGGGCUUGGUGUGUGACUCACUUCAGUGGGUUAAAGAAGGCAGCAAAGGAUUCCAACCAGCAUGUUAGAACAAGCUGGGGAAAAAAGGAAGGCCCAAAUAGAGAGAGAAACAACAACAAAAAAAAAAUUGCCUCUCCCUUUCUAUUUUUUUUUUCUUGUCUACCCUUGGGAGUCAAUAUUCUGUAAGGAGCAGGGAGAAAGCUUCAGCUGAAGACAAAUUCUAAAAAUAACAUUUCCCUCUAAUGCUGUCAUUUGUUUAUACCUCUAAAAUCUCUUUUUUUCCUAGCUCUGUGUCUUAAGGCAUAGAUUCUCAGACUUUGUAGUACAAUGAUCUCCUCAGUGAAACUGGGAGAGAAAUAUGCAGUGGGGUGCCCCAGGGCUCAGUUCUGGGCCCAGUGCUCUUCAACAUCUUCAUCAAUGAUUUGGAUGACAGGAUAGAUGGGGAACUCAGCAAAUUUGCAGAUGACACCAAACUGGCAGGAUUAGCCAACACUCGCUCCAGAAGAUAGGCUUAAGAUACAGGAGGACCUGGACAGACUUGAACAUCGGUACUAUCUACCAAAAUGAAAGUCAGUGGCGAAAAAAGAUAGUGUUCUGCAUUUAGGCAAGAAAAAUCAAAUGCACAGGUAUAGUAUAGGUGGUACCUUGCUCAAUAGUAGCAACUGUGAGAGGGAUCUUGGAAUCACAAUAUGAGCCAGCAGUAUGCAGCAGCUGCCAAA